rnacentral:lncRNA from 1 species
GUCUCACCUAGGAGGGUUGUGAUGUCUCUCCUCACCUGUGAGGGUUGUGAUGUCUCUCCUCACCUGGGAAAGUUGUGAUGUCUCUCCUCACCUGGGAGGGUUGUGAUGUCUCUCCUCACCUGGGAGGGUUGUGAUCUUCGAGGCCAACCAGGUCAGACAAACAUCUGCCAUUAUCUAAUAAACGUUAAAGCAUCCCAAAUGGCACCUUGUUCCCUAUAUCGCCCUCGUCAAAAGCAGUGCACUAUGUAGGGGAGAGGGUGUCACCUGGGACACGACCCAUCAUGUAGGUGAUGCUUCAGACUAGCUAGCUUCUAUAUCAUGUUGGGGAUUCUACAGUGGUGUUUAUAUAUCAUGGGGAUUCUACAGUGAUGUUUCUAUAUCCUGUUGGGGAUUCUACAGUGAUGUUUCUAUAUCCUGUUGGGGAUUCUACAGUGAUGUUUCUAUAUCAUGGGGAUUCUACAGUGGUGUUUAUAUAUCAUGGAGAUUCUACAGUGAUGUUUCUAUAUCAUGUUGGGGAUUCUACAGUGAUGUUUCUAUAUCCUGUUGGGGAUUCUACAGUGAUGUUUAUAUAUCAUGGGGAUUCUACAGUGAUGUUUCCAUAUCAUGUUGGGGAUUCUACAGUGAUGUUUCUAUAUCGUGUUGGGGAUUCUACAGUGAUGUUUCUAUAUCCUGUUGGGGAUUCUACAGUGAUGUUUCUAUAUCAUGUUGGGGAUUCUACAGUGAUGUUUCUAUAUCCUGUUGGGGAUUCUACAGUGAUGUUUCUAUAUCAUGUUGGGGAUUCUACAGUGAUGUUUCUAUAUCCUGUUGGGGAUUCUACAGUGAUGUUUAUAUAUCAUGGGGAUUCUACAGUGAUGUUUCCAUAUCAUGUUGGGGAUUCUACAGUGAUGUUUCUAUAUCCUGUUGGGGAUUCUACAGUGAUGUUUCUAUAUCAUGGGGAUUCUACAGUGAUGUUUCUAUAUCAUGUUGGGGAUUCUACAGUGAUGUUUAUAUAUCAUGGGGAUUCUACAGUGAUGUUUCUAUAUCCUGUUGGGGAUUCUACAGUGAUGUUUAUAUAUCAUGGGGAUUCUACAGUGAUGUUUAUAUAUCAUGGGGAUUCUACAGUGAUGUUUAUAUAUCAUGUUGGGGAUUCUACAGUGAUGUUUCUAUAUCAUGUUGGGCAGCCGAUGGGACAGCUCUGCUGCAACACUGCGACCAAUGGGACACUUUGUUACAACAGAACAGACAACAGAACUGCUCUGCUGCAACACAACAGCCAAUGGAACUGCUCUGCUGCAACACAACAGCCAAUGGAACUGCUCUGCUUCAACACAACAGCCAAUGGAACUGCUCUGCUUCAACACAACAGCCAAUGGAACUGCUCUGCUGCAACACAACAGCCAAUGGAAUUGCUCUGCUGCAACACAACAGCCAAUGGAACUGCUCUGCUGCAACACAACAGCCAAUGGAACUGCUCUGAUGCAACACAACAGCCAAUGGAACUGCUCUGAUGCAACACAACAGCCAAUGGAAUUGCUCUGAUGCAACACAACAGCCAAUGGAAUUGCUCUGCUGCAACACAACAGCCAAUGGAACUGCUCUGCUGCAACACAACAGCCAAUGGAACUGCUCUGUUGCAACACAACAUCAGCUGAGGAAGUUCUAGAGCAGGGGACGAUUCCUCCUGUAACUCUGUGGGCUCCAUCCACCUCUCUGGACCCAGGGCAUAUCUACCAGUACACACACACACACACACACGCACGCACUCACACAUUAAAAAAGCACAUGCACACACACACACACACACACGCACACGCACACGCACACGCACACACACACACACGCACACAAAUCAUUUGAAUGUCAUUAACAUAACAUGUUUUACAUAUUUAUCAAUUAUAAAUUAACAUGGUGCAAUUAGCCUUACAAAGUCAUGUUUAGUCAUUCCUGUCAAUUGUUUGGUAAAAAAAGAAGAAUCCACCCCCCCCCCCUUCUCACCAAGACGUCCUGUUCCAGAACAGCUGUGUAAAAUGAGAACCAUCUUUUGAACUCUUGUUCUCCUGUCAUCACAGUCACAGGAUUUGAUCAUGGUUAUUUCUGAUUGGUUGAUAUACCCAUCACACCUCAGAAAAUUGAGACUCGAUUUAUUUUUAUUUUUUUCAUACGGUGUCCAUAUUAGGACAUCCUCAUCAGGACUUGAGACUGAGUUGUUCCUAAUAUGGACACCUUACUUCCGUUAUGUGGAAGUCAGCGUUUGUUCAUGAAUAGAAGAGUAUUCGAGCUACUGAAUCUGGAACUAAAACUGAUAUUAUAAACUGGGUGGUUCGAGCCCUGAAUGCUGAUUGGCUGACAGCUGUGGUAUAUCAGACCGAAUACCACGGGUAUGACAAAACAUUUAUUUUGACUGCUCUAAUUACGCUGGUAACCAGUUUAUAAUCGCAAUAAGGCACCUCAGGGGUUUGUGGUAUAUGGCCGAUAUACCACGGCUAAGGGCUGUAUCCAGCACAGGAGGUUGGCGGCGCCUUCAUUUGGGAGGACAGGCUUGUGUUAAUGGCUGGAGCGGAAAGGUGGGAUGGAUUCAAACACAUCAAACACACGAUUUAAAGCCGUUCCAUUCGCUCCGUUCCAGACAUUAUUAUGAGCCGUCCUCCCCUCAGCAGCCUCUGCGUUGUGACUAAGAACAGCCCAUAGCUGUGGUAUAAUGACUGUAUACCACACCUCCUCCUUAUUGCUUCAUUAUAUAAUGGCUCCGUAGUUUGAAUAGGUGGUGACCAUGGUGACCUGAAACCGUUCAAAUAGUAUUCGUUUUCUUUCCAACACUUUGACCACGUCAUUAAGUCUGUCUGGAGUGCAAGAUGGGCAGGGUUUGCAAUUUUCAGACCAUUUCAGUGGUCCAACCGUGCCAGGCAAACUCAAUGAAGCACAACCUAAAGCAUAUGGAAAUAAAUCAAAUAAUAUUUGAACCCAGGUCUACUCUGUACUCCCUGCGUGUGGCCUUCAUAUAGGUCUUAUAUCCCCAUAGAGUAGGGUCAUUCCCUCAGUAGGGGGAGGCGGGGAGGGGAAAACAUACUGUAACUGAACGCAGUGACCUCAUGUGACACGCAGCUCUGAUUGGCUCAAACCCAUUACAGAUUAUUAUAGUAACAUUCAUUUACAUGCACGGCAAAAAGACUAGUUUAAACACGACGACAAAAAAACACAUUUUCUUGACGAGUUGAACCGAGAGAGCUGGUGCAUUGGUGUAAAUGCCAGAUGGGCUGGCCCCUCUUCAGCCCAGUGGGCCUGUCUAAACCAGGGGUUUGGUGUAAAUGCCAGAUGGGCUGGCCCCUCUUCAGCCCAGUGGGCCUGUCUAAACCAGGGGUUUGGUGUAAAUGACAGAUGGGCUGGCCCCUCUUCAGCCCAGUGGGCCUGUCUAAACCAGGGGUUUGGUGUAAAUGCCAGAUGGGCUGGCCCCUCUUCAGCCCAGUGGGCCUGUCUAAACCAGGGGUUUGGUGUAAAUGCCAGAUGGGCUGGCCCCUCUUCAGCCCAGUGGGCCUGUCUAAACCAGGGGUUUGGUGUAAAUGCCAGAUGGGCUGGCCCCUCUAAACCAGGGGUUUCUACACAAUAAUAAUGAUGCGUCUAAUGAUGAAAACAUUAGAUAGACCCAGUCCAGUCCUGCAUUAUUAACAUGUACAAUAUAUAUAGUAGCCAGACUGAAUGAAGAAAACCACUGUCUUUUCUUCUACAUUCUGAUCCCAUCUUCUAAAAAAUAACACACUUGUCACGAUUACAACACUGACAACUCACAAGUCGAAUAUGAAGUCAGAUAUUCCAGGUUGUAACCGUCUGUUGUGUUCAGGAAGCAGAAAAAAAUAAUAACAUUCUGAAAUUGGUGGCUUUACAUUAAUGUAUAGAAUGUGAUGAUAAUCAACAGUAUCACACCAUCAUUAUUAUCAUCAUCAAGAUCAUCACCACCAUCAUCAUCAUCAUCAUCAUUAUCUUCAUCAUCUUCAUCAUCACCACCACCAUCAUCAACAUCAUCAUCAUCACCACCAUCCUCAUCAUUAUCUUCAUCAUCAUCACCACCAUCUUCAUCAUUAUCUUCAUCAUCACCGUCAUCAACAUUAUCAACAUCACCAUGAACAUUAUUAUCACUAGCUGUAUCCGUUAUCUGUGUCAGCCCCGUUAUCUGUGUCAGCCCCGUUAUCUGUGUCAGCCCCGUUAUCUGUGUCAGCUCCAUUAUCUGUGUCAGCUCCGUUAUCUGUGUCAGCCCCGUCAUCUGUGUCAGCUCCAUUAUCUGUGUCAGCUCUGUUAUCUGUGUCAGCUCCGUU